rnacentral:rRNA from 1 species
UACGUAGGGUGCGAGCGUUAAUCGGAAUUACUGGGCGUAAAGCGUGCGCAGGCGGUUUGUUAAGACAGAUGUGAAAUCCCCGGGCUUAACCUGGGAACUGCAUUUGUGACUGGCAAGCUAGAGUAUGGCAGAGGGGGGGUAGAAUUCCACGUGAUAGCAGUGAAAUGCGUAGAGAUGUGGAGGAAUACCCGAUGGCGAAGGCAGCCCCCCUGGGCCCAAUACUGACGCUCAUGGCACG